GAAAAAGAAUUGGAAGGAAGACUGAAGACUUUUACACUUCAGGAAGAGAAACGUGUCUUGCCUCCCUCAGAAGAAGAACUAGAAGAGCUACUCAUGAAACUUCAAAGUAUGAGAGGUACUUCACUCUCCACCAAACUCUCCACUGCUGGUCAUGGAAAAGAACUGGAAGGAAGACUGAAAACUAUGAAACUUCAGGAAGAGAAAUGCACCUGGCCUGUCCUUGAAUUUUCUGCCUCUGAUCCUGAGGAAGAUUUAGCAAAGCUACGUAUGAAAC